rnacentral:lncRNA from 7 species
GAGAGAGGAUUAAUUAGGGAAGUGCUGAUUCACAAGCAAGUUAUCAUACCUACCAUCAUCAUUAUUUUGCAGCCUGCUACUCUAUUUACAGAACUGCUUGUAUUCUGUUUUUAGCCUUUUCAUCCUGGCAGGAAGGAAUACUGUAUAGUCUUCCUUCUGAAUCACCAGCUUGGUCUACAUGACAAUUUUCUUGUCUCCAGACUUUCAGAAAGGGAAAAGAAAGCAAUUAUCUUCACUCAACUGACAUGAAUUUAAAGGUUCACUGAGCUAGCUGUCCUACUGCUCUGCCUGUCCACACAGCACACUGCUUUCCAAAACAACCAAACUGAAGAUAGAAUGCAAGCAUGUGUCCGGAGACCUACAAAAAAGCCAUAAUCUUCAGGAGCCAGGAAGGUGUCUGCAAAGACAACUUUUCUCUAUCAAAGGGAAAUAUCUUUGGAAUUACAUCCCGAAUUCCCAAAGCUCCCUUUGAAAGCAUGGGUGUCUGCAGGGAGCUGUGCAGAGCGCUGUGCCUGAGCUGUGCCUGCUGCUGUUAGAAGGAGGAGCACGAGAGUCAGCAGAACUCCGUGCUUCAGGCUUUCUGCAUUCUCACAGAUAAACCAGCCAGGUGAAGCAAACAAUGACUGCAUUGAAAACAGGCAUUGAAAGGCAGAGCUUGAGUUGUCCCAGUUUUUGUCCCUCAGAAGUCAAGCUACAGGUAGUAAAUGCCACCUGCUUUAACAACUGUAAAUUGGAGACAGAGUUUACCUUGGAAAGGAAAUACCACUGUGAUGCAAAAGUGUUCCUCGUCUGAUAAGAACUUUAAAGGGAAGAAAAAAAACAACCCUUCAAGAUUUGAUUACCUGAUCUCUUUGAACUUAGCAGACAAAACACUCCAAAGAUUUUCUGUUAACUCUGU